GACGCACCGGGCGAACGUUGUCCGGAUUCACUGGGCUUAAAGCGCCCGUAGGCGGAUGACCAAGUCAGCGGUGAAAGCCCGCGGCUCAACCGAGGAAUGGCCUUUGAUACUGGUAGGCUUGAGGGAGGUAGGGGCCGGUGGAACUCCUGGUGGAGCGGUGAAAUGCGUAGAGAUCAGAAGGAACGCCGGUGGCGAAAGCGAGCGGCUGGGCCUCAUCUGACGCUGAGGCGCGAAAGCUAGGGGAGCGAACGGG
rnacentral:rRNA from 1 species